UGUGUCAUAGCUCAGUUGGGAGAGCGUUAGACUAUAAAUCGAGAGUCACCGGUUCGAUCCCGAGUUUCGACAA
rnacentral:tRNA from 1 species